UGGAGUUUAGUUUAUUUAAGACAGAAUGGAUGACUGUUAAUCAUCAGGAAAAGCUCUAG
rnacentral:tRNA from 1 species